rnacentral:rRNA from 1 species
UUUUCCUACGGGACGCAGCAGUGAGGAAUAUUGGUCAAUGGGCUUACGCCUGAACCAGCCAAGUCGCGUGAGGGAAGACUGCCCUAUGGGUUGUAAACCUCUUUUGUCAGGGAGCAACGCCGGCUACGUGUAGCCGGACUGAGAGUACCUGAAGAAAAAGCAUCGGCUAACUCCGUACCAGCAGCCGUGGUAAUACGGAGGAUGCGAGCGUUAUCCGGAUUUAUUGGGUUUAAAGGGUGCGUAGGUGGAAUGCCAAGUCAGCGGUAAAAUCGCG